rnacentral:sRNA from 1 species
GGUAUAUACCUGCUUUUGUUUUAAUUCUGGAGAUUUCUAUUAAAAUUUUCAAGCAGCUCAGAAAUUGUCUUAUUAUCCAUAGCAACUAGUAGUAUAAAUUGUGUUCUUUUAUUUCCAGGAAAUGCUUCCAGACUGCACACUUUUACUUAGAGGACAGUACAUCCCCUAGAGUUAUAUCCACACCUCCAACACCUAUCUUUCCAAUUUCAGAUGAUGUUGGAGCAAUUCCAAUAAAGCACUUUCCAAAGCAUGUUGCAGACUUACAUGCAAGUAGUGGGUUUACUGAAGAAUUUGAGGUAUGAUUUUAAUAUGUCUAUUUUAAAUAAUAUAGAAAAUAGUAAAAUUUAAAAGAUUCAGCAAUAGGCUAUUUGUUGACCUAAAGACAGUGCAACCAUUUGCACUUCUAGUAAAAAUAUGAGUUCCAUAAUUACGUACGUGUUUAGGAGAUGUGUUAUAGUUACCAUAUAAUUUAGACAAUUGGUUUUCUAUUUUAAAAGCCAAGUUGUACUGGUGGCAACAUAAAAAAACAUUGUUCAUUUUCUUCCAUAAAGUGCAAAUCUGUAAUAUUCUUUUUUAAAAUCUGAAUUAAUAACAAUGAUUCUUUUUAAUUUUCUAAAUUAUAUAAAUUAUACUAAACUACUAAAUGUCAUGAUUUCCAGCCAAAUUACAUAAAAAUUCUUAACUGUGAUUUGUACACCAGUGUUAAUGCAAAAGCAUUUAGAUAACACUUACAUUAUACCAGGUAAAAAUGUAUCUUCUUUUCAAGAAAAUACGCAUUUCUAAAAAAAAUUUGAACUUCAAAAUCAGUAAGUUUUUUC